GCAGCGCACAUUAGGUGAGACACUGAGGGUGAGACAGGUAAAGACAGAGACCACAGGUGAGACACUGAGGGUGAGACAGGUAAAGACAGACACCACAGGUGAGACACUGAGGGUGAGACAGGU